rnacentral:rRNA from 1 species
AGAGCGAACGCUGGCGGCGUGCUUAACACAUGCAAGUCGAGUGCGCGCCUGUAGCAAUACAGGUGGCGCACGGCGCACGGGUGCGUAACACGUGGGUAAUCUGCCCUUCGAUGGGGAAUAACUUCGGGAAACCGAAGCUAAUUCCGCAUAAUAUUCCGAGAACCUUGGUUUUUGGAUUCAAAGGCGUAAGUCGUCGGAGGAGGAGCCCGCGCACGAUUAGCUAGUUGGUGAGGUAAUGGCUCACCAAGGCUAUGAUCGUUAGCUGGUCUGAGAGGAUGGCCAGCCACACUGGAACUGAGACACGGUCCAGACUCCUACGGGAGGCAGCAGUGGGGAAUCUUGCACAAUGGGCGAAAGCCUGAUGCAGCGACGCCGCGUGGGGGAUGAAGCUUUUCGGAGUGUAAACCCUUCGACCCGGACGAAUGCCCGCAAGGGACUGACGGUACGGGUAUAAGAAGCCCGGCUAACUACGCGCCAGCACGCCGCGGUAA